GUGAAUAAGUUACGAUAACAGUGUUUUGCAUUUCCAAAUGUGAUGUUUGUUAAAUACGUCUAUUUAAUUUCGAUUUUGAUGUAAUUGCACGACUCCUUGCAUUGAGACUCCCUGAGCGAGGGUGCGUGGUCAGUGUCUUCGUAACCACGUGUCCUGAACGGCCACGUGUCCUGCAACUCGCCCAGCGCUGUGUUAAAUCACAAAUGGAUGUGAACGAUUUUAAAUGCAUCUUAACAAUGCAGGGGCGCCAGCAUUGCGGUUUCUCGAUGAUGAAAAUUACACAGACCUGUCCUGAAAACCGUGAUUGCAACUUUAUCUAAUUCUGAUGAGAACCGCAGCGCCUCCUAAACAGAAAUCCUGCUUUGGUGGGGUUUUGCAUUUGAGAAACUAAUUAAUUUUUUUAUGUAAGGAAUCCAAUCCUAUUCGGGCGUUGCGGGCCCGCGUCCGCCACGUGAGCCGCACGGACCCGAGAGAAGAGAAACGAUGCCUUGCACGGGUGUGAAAGCAGCUGCCUGUGAGAGGAGCGCCCCUCCCUGUGCUGUGAUGCACCUGUUCCCAGGCUGUGUUGAAUCAUCUUGACCUGCUCCUGACGCACGAGGGAGAUUUUCAAGGCUGUGAUCUCUGACUAUGCGAUGCUCCGUCCUGGAGGGUGACGGGAGACUGUGGGCUGCAGGGAUCCUGUAACAUGGGUCUGACUCCCGGGCUGUACCGACCCACGCAGUGAAGCCAGCGCCCUCUGCUGGCAGCUGCUGGACCUGCAGAGCCCCUAUCUCUUGCAGUGAAGCCGGCGCCCUCUGCUGGCAGCUGCUGGACCUGCAGAGCCCCUAUCUCUUACAGUGAAGCCAGCGCCCUCUGCUGGCAGCUGCUGGACCUGCAGAGCCCCUAUCUCUUACAGUGAAGCCGGCGCCCUCUGCUGGCAGCUGCUGGACUUGCAUCCUGAAGCCAGUUCUGUCCUGGUCUGUGACCCGGAUCUCUCUCCAGGGCUGUGCGCAACUAGACAGCAGGCUGUGAUCUCUGACGAUGCGAUGCUCCGUCCUGGAGGGUGACGGGAGACUGGGCUGCAGAGAUCUGGCAGCUGAGGUGGUCAGCUGGUCUUCAGUAUUCUUUUUAAAAGGGUUCUGUGUGGAGGACAGGGUGCGCAGAAGAGGAUCCUGGGAUUUGUAGUUUUUAGAACAGUGGAUUUUUUUUAUGUAAAUGUUUCUGAAGCCUGUUUUUUUUGUUCCAGUUUUAUUAUGAGUGCUUCUUGAUGUGAGGUGUGCAGAAACACCUCUCUGUUCUUGCAAUAAAAUGACUUGACUGUG